rnacentral:rRNA from 1 species
UACGUAGGGUGCUAGCGUUGUCCGGAUUUAUUGGGCGUAAAGAGCGUGUAGGCGGCCAGGUAGGUCUGGUGUGAAAACUCGAGGCUUAACCUCGAGAUGUCAUCGGAAACCAUCUGGCUAGAGUCCGGAAGAGGAGAGUGGAAUUCCUGGUGUAGCGGUGAAAUGCGCAGAUAUCAGGAAGAACACCAAUGGCGAAAGCAGCUCUCUGGGACGGUACUGACGCUGAGACGCGAAAGCGUGGGGAGCGAACAGG